rnacentral:lncRNA from 12 species
UCUUCCCUUCAGUUGCCCUUCCCCCGCCCCCCGAGCCUCUGCGCUCCAGCCGCGCGGUGGCCUCUCCACCUCCUCCCCCGCCGUCAGCGUCCAGCCGCUCCGAGCCACUCGAGCUGUCGGCGGCCCUUUGCAUCUUCCAUCUGAUUUGUAUCCACUGUGAUCAGCACUCUCAACUAGGACUUUCCAGAUCCUGACCAGGACUGCAGAGUGACCAGAUUCCUCACAAGAAGGAGACGGUGAUUUUGGAUUCCUUGGUGGAGGAAAACAAAACCCUCUGGUCUUGCUUCCAAUGAUGCAA